AAAGUUCUCACAGUUCGUCUGCAGUCUGCACAGUGCAGUGCAAGCAAAAACUGUGCUAAAGACUAAAGUCGUCAUAGGCUCACAGCACAUAUUUAGUUUAGCAGGGCCGCGAGGCUGCCAUCAGCACAUUCUGCACAUAUCAUAUAGCCAUAAGCCCAUAAUGUUAUUUCAUAUUGUUUAUUGUAGUGAUUGGAGUGACUUAGUGAGUAUUUGGCAAAUGAUUCCGUUCAAGCAAAAGUUUUCUUUUUUUUUCUGUUACCGACUAACGUGGUUGAAACAGAGCAGUCAAACAAGGAAAUUUCAAACAGCCCAUGUGCUCAGAUCACAUUGGUGCAAGAAGUGACGCAUGGAAUGUUCAACUUAAUAGGAUUUUUCUCUCCUCAUCUCCUCUAAAAAAAUGAGUGCUACAAGAAUGUUCUCUGUGUGUUAUAUCAUCCACCACUUAGCUCCAAUGCAACAGAAAUAAGUCUAAGCUUUCAAGUACGUUGAAGUUAUCUCUGCGUGUGAAGAAUCCAGUGAUCUAGAAUGAAUGAAUAAAGUGAACUCAAACAUUCAGUGACAGUUACACCAACUUACGUGAACUGCCAGACACAAUGUUGUCCUAAAAUAAGAAGAAUGCCAAUCUUGAGUCUACAUAGGGAUUGGCAUGGAUUACAUGCCCACAUCGUGCAACCAAAUAUCAAUCUUGAAGCCAGUGAGCCGAACGCCAACCUUGGUGUAAAAAAGUGCGGAAUCGACGAACGACAACCCAGUGUUUGCUUGCGUGUUUAAAACUGUUUAAGGUCCAACGCAAAAAAUAGUUGAGAUUGAUAACUUUUUUUUAAAUCCUUUCAUUCAACAUCUUGUACUGCCAGUCUCAACAACACGAACAACAAGAUUAUUGACCACACAAUCAUCGCAAAUGCUGGUUAAUUGCAAAACACAUCCUUGUCGUAACAACUGACAUCCGGGAAGAAAAUACUUUGGUGAUGAGACUCUCGCCAUGGAGGAAGUAAUGCGUGACACCACCUAUGCCUCCAUCAAAUGUACUGUUCAUAUAGUUGUGGGACUUGUGGCCAAUACGGAAUUUUAAAAGCCCCUUUAUGACGAGCUAUACUGAGGUAGGCGACGAUACUCAUUGUUGCCAAACGAGCAUAAGGCAACAACAAUCGUUAUCUGAAACUAGACGAACAAGUUGCUAGUGAGGAAUUUCAAACGAUCAUCAAAGUUGAGAAAGAAGAAGAUGACGACUCCAUGCAAUCAAAACAAAGAAGGAAACAUUAGAGCCAGAAGAUCCAUCUGUUACCGCACACCAACAUCUAACGGAACUUAUUCCACAUGUCCAAAUGGCGCCCAAUUAGUUAACUUCCGAUUCAUAGUUCUGUUGGAAUCACUAUCAAGGAAAAAAGAGGUGUGAAGCUCCUUUACCAACUGACAUCAUAUUCAAGUUGGGCAUGGAAGUGCGGCACAAGACGCAUGCCAACCAGUGAACGAGCAAGUCAAAGGAAAGACACCGCACCGCACAAGUUCUCUACAACGGGUUGCGGCGAGUUUGGGCAACCUUACCGCCAUGCUGCACUCUCAAUCCGACCCGGGUCGCUGUUUCCUCUCGAUCCUGGUUGCUGGCAUCAACCCAGUUGUUUUCUCUACUCUUCUACCAAACGCGCAAAGUACCAGGUAAUAGAGAAACAUUUUUAUUAACAUCAGCAAACAAAAACUUGCCGAAAGGUACGUGGUCAUGGUCUUCCUGUUUUGUAUUUUCCCUGACGAGAAAUCUUUUAGCGAAGUAUACAAGAGACCUUGGUUUUAUUCUAACGGGCUCUGAAGUCGCACUGCCUGAGUAAAAAUACUAUAACUGACGGUAGGUAAUGAAAUAUGUUACUGUUUUACAGCAAAGUGACGACGAUUUGAGUCUUUGGCGUUAGUUCAGUUCUUCCACAGCCUUCGUUUCUUACCUAAUUCUGUGUCGACUGUACUAAACUAUUUUAUUUUAUGUAUUUAAGGUAGAUUGGCUUGAGGUUCAAAUAAUGCACUAAAUGCAACUUACAACACUGACGUUGCCAUCUGCAAUGGGAAUGAUCAGGCUAGGUGAGUCAACGUUUACUUACAUUUCCGUGUAACUUUCGCUCUACCAUCAAUACGAUAAGAUCCUUUGUUCUGAUGGGGAAAUAAUUGGACAUUAUCACUAAAAAGUGCACCAACAAACUUUGUGAAACGGACAUGAAAUAGUCAGAUUUUUGUAGGUCAUUUGCUAUUUUGAUUUUUGAUUUUGUAUGAAAAAAAAAUCAAUCAACGCCAGGUAGCUAACAAUAUUAUCUUAAGACCAGUCUUUCAAAUACUGAGUUUUGAGACGUGUUAAACAGAUGGCGUGUUGAUUGUGUCAGUUAUGGGCUUCUGGCGAUUUGAUGUCAACAUUUAAGCUAUCCAUUAUUCGAAAAUUAUCAAUGAAUUCAUAGGAAGAAACGUGAAAGCUGGAACCUACCGUCAACUAUUUUGUUCAAAAUCAUUGUAUUCUACUGAAUGUGUCAUCAAAAUGAUAAGUAGAUCACCAACCCCAGCACGGACCAAUCUCUCAUUCCAUCUCCUAUAGAACCUUGGAUAACUGAUCGGUGGUUUCAUGUGUAAGUUCACUUGUCACUGAACUAUGGAAAAUAUUCUGUCCAGGGAAUGACGCCUUAAAAGAAAGAACUGCGGCUGCGAUCUUCAACAAUCUUGCGUAACAAUAUUGCAUGAAUUUUGAUGCUGAAAGACUUUGAAACCAUGCUGUCCAGUGUCCACCACGUCGAGAAGCUGAGUAACAUUCGGCUAACAUUAUGUGUGUACAAUGGGGCCUCUUAAUAAAAGGAACUGAAGCCAUCCAAUCUAGGUCUUCAAUCCAAUCAUGAAGGCUGUAUGGAAGUGGCAUUUACCUUUGCUGUGAACAUCAUGAACACAUACACUUUUUGAAGGUUCAUGUUUACAUAGCAGUGGUGUUGCUGUCCAAUGUGGCGUGUUGUUGCAGCCUAUGAC